rnacentral:rRNA from 1 species
UACGUAGGGUGCGAGCGUUGUCCGGAUUUAUUGGGCGUAAAGAGCUCGUAGGCGGUGUGUCACGUCGGCCGUGAAAACCUGGGGCUUAACUCUGGGCGUGCGGUCGAUACGGGCAUCACUAGAGUUCGGCAGGGGAGACUGGAAUUCCUGGUGUAGCGGUGAAAUGCGCAGAUAUCAGGAGGAACACCGGUGGCGAAGGCGGGUCUCUGGGCCGAUACUGACGCUGAGGAGCGAAAGCGUGGGGAGCAAACAGG